rnacentral:rRNA from 1 species
GAUGAACGCUGGCGGCGUGCUUAACACAUGCAAGUCGAACGAAGCAACUUAUCACGAUUCCUUCGGGAUGACGAUUUGUUGACUGAGUGGCGGACGGGUGAGUAACGCGUGGGUAACCUGCCUUAUACAGGGGGAUAGCAGCUGGAAACGGCUGAUAAUACCGCAUAAGCGCACAGUAUCGCAUGAUACAGUGUGAAAAACUCCGGUGGUAUAAGAUGGACCCGCGUCUGAUUAGCUAGUUGGUGGGGCAACGGCCUACCAAGGCGACGAUCAGUAGCCGACCUGAGAGGGUGACCGGCCACAUUGGGACUGAGACACGGCCCAGACUCCUACGGGAGGCAGCAGUGGGGAAUAUUGCACAAUGGAGGAAACUCUGAUGCAGCGACGCCGCGUGAGCGAAGAAGUAUUUCGGUAUGUAAAGCUCUAUCAGCAGGGAAGAUAAUGACG